rnacentral:rRNA from 1 species
UGGGGAAUAUUGCACAAUGGGCGCAAGCCUGAUGCAGCAACGCCGCGUGAACGAUGAAGGUCUUCGGAUCGUAAAGCUCUGUCCUAUGAGAAGAUAAUGACGGUAUUAUAGGAGGAAGCCCCGGCUAAAUACGUGCCAGCAGCCGCGGUAAUACGUAUGGGGCGAGCGUUGUCCGGAAUUAUUGGGCGUAAAGGAUACGUAGGCGGUCUAUUAAGUCAGGUGUGAAAGCGUGAGGCUUAACCUCAUUAAGCACUUGAAACUGAUAGACUUGAGUGAAGGAGAGGAAAGUGGAAUUCCUAGUGUAGCGGUGAAAUGCGUAGAUAUUAGGAGGAAUACCGGUGGCGAAGGCGACUUUCUGGACUUUUACUGACGCUCAGGUACGAAAGCGUGGGGAGCAAACAGG